rnacentral:snRNA from 1 species
AGCUUUGCACAGUGCCAGUAUUGUAGCCAAUGAAGUUUAUCUGAGGUGCGAUUUUUGCUAAAAGA